rnacentral:rRNA from 1 species
AUUGAACGCUGGCGGCAGGCGUAACACAUGCAAGUCGAACGAGUGGCGGACGGGUGAGUAAUGACUGGGAAACUAGCUUAUGGCGGGGGAUAACUACUGGAAACUGUAGCUAAUACCUCCUACCAUCAUAUGAUCCCAGAUGGGAUUCGUUGGUUGGUGGGGUAACGGCUCACCAAUCCGACGAUCCCUAGCUGGUCUGAGAGGAUGACCAUACAGACGGGGACUGCGACACGGGACAGACUCACACGGUAGGCAGCAGUGGGGAAUAUUGCGGAAUGGGGGCAAGAUAGAUGCAGCAAUGCCGAGUGAAUGAAGAAGGCCUUCGGGUUGUAAAGUAAUUUCAGCAGAGAGUCGUGACCCGCAGAAGAAGGACCGGCGAAAUCCGUGCCAGCAGCCGCGGUAAUAC